AACGAACGCUGGCGGCAUGCCUAACACAUGCAAGUCGAACGAGACCUUCGGGUCUAGUGGCGCACGGGUGCGUAACGCGUGGGAACCUGCCCUUAGGUUCGGAAUAACUCCCCGAAAGGGGUGCUAAUACCGGAUAAUGUCUUCGGACCAAAGAUUUAUCGCCUUUGGAUGGGCCCGCGUUGGAUUAGCUAGUUGGUAGGGUAAAAGCCUACCAAGGCGACGAUCCAUAGCUGGUCUGAGAGGAUGAUCAGCCACACUGGGACUGAGACACGGCCCAGACUCCUACGGGAGGCAGCAGUGGGGAAUAUUGGACAAUGGGGGAAAGCCUGAUCCAGCAAUGCCGCGUGAGUGAUGAAGGCCUUAGGGUUGUAAAGCUCUUUUAACCGGGAUGAUAAUGACAGUACCGGGAGAAUAAGCUCCGGCUAACUCCGUG
rnacentral:rRNA from 1 species